GCGGAGGUGGCGAAAUUGGCAGACGCACUAGCUUGAGGUGCUAGCGGGUAAUUCCAUACGGGUUCAAGUCCCGUCUUCCGCA
rnacentral:tRNA from 1 species